rnacentral:rRNA from 1 species
UACGUAGGGUGCGAGCGUUAAUCGGAAUUACUGGGCGUAAAGCGUGCGCAGGCGGUUUUGCAAGCCGGAUGUGAAAUCCCCGGGCUUAACCUGGGAAUGGCAUUUGGGACUGCAUCGCUGGAGUGCGGCAGAGGGGGAUGGAAUUCCGCGUGUAGCAGUGAAAUGCGUAGAUAUGCGGAGGAACACCGAUGGCGAAGGCAAUCCCCUGGGCCUGCACUGACGCUCAUGCACGAAAGCGUGGGGAGCAAACAGG